rnacentral:rRNA from 1 species
UACGUAGGGGGCGAGCGUUGUCCGGAUUUAUUGGGCGUAAACGGCUUGUCGGUGGCCACGUCAAGUCGGAUGUGAAAUCUCCCGGCUCAACUGGGAGGGGUCAUUCGAUACUGGCGGGCUCGAGGCCGGUAGGGGGAAGCGGAAUUCCCGGUGUAGUGGUGGAAUGCGUAGAUAUCGGGAGGAACACCUGUGGCGAAAGCGGCUCACUGGACCAUAACUGACGCUGAUGCACGAAAGCUAGGGGAGCAAACAGG